rnacentral:rRNA from 1 species
GACGUAGGGCGCGAGCGUUGUCCGGAUUUAUUGGGCGUAAAGAGCUCGUAGGCGGCUUGUCGCGUCGUCCGUGAAAACCCACAGCUCAACUGUGGGCUUGCGGUCGAUACGGGCAGGCUAGAGUUCGGUAGGGGAGACUGGAAUUCCUGGUGUAGCGGUGAAAUGCGCAGAUAUCAGGAGGAACACCAAUAGCGAAGGCAGCUCGCUGGGACGGUACUGACGCUAAGGUGCGAAAGCGUGGGGAGCGAACAGG